CUGGACUGUGGUUGAAGGAAACCAGACAAAGCAAACACCAGAUAAGUGCAGCUUAUCCUUAAUGACUGGAUGUACUUCAUCCAUGACACUGACAUUUCAAUCUCCUCUAGCUUUAAAAGGAAUCUGUAGAGCCCCUAGUCUAACAAGUAGGAGAUGUGUUAACUGAAACUGGACAGCAUCAUCCUGGUAAAUCCAGGGCACAGAAAACUGAAAUGUAUAACAGACACCUGAAGGAGUGAAGGCAACCACUAUCAGCUCUUUCCUAUCGUCUGGCUCCCACUAUGCCUUUUAGUGUCUUGAGAAACAUACAAUAUCGAGUCUUCUGACACAUAAAUUGUAUGAAGACUCAGCAUGAGGCCAUGCUCAAGUAUUAUAAAGCUUCAUUUAAAAAAUAACACAAAGCUCCCAAAUUCAGCCCUUCUGAUUGGAUCUUCAGAGCAAAAGAAUCUACUAAAUUUACCAGUAAAUGUUUCAAGCAAGACUUGUUAAUCCAACCAAGAGGCUUUGCCUUUGAAGAAAAGUUUCCCUCAACAGGGGAAUCUUAAUGAAUCACCAUUCACCAUGCAGUUUCGGUAACAGAGAACAUGACACGGGGUGGGGGGCAAUGAUGGCUUCCCUGGCACCUUUCAGAACACAGCCUGUGAAUGACUGCCUACUGACUGAGAACACCAGCCCUGCCAAGGACCAUGCAAAGGGGCAUGUGGGCAUCACUAGUGAGUGAUCUGUCUCUCAGGCAACAGAAACUGCUCUGGGAAGGAACUAUAUACAUUUGACUUCUAAUUGCUGUAUCCCCAUUUCUCCCUGUUAUCAAGCCUGGGCAUUCAACCACUUUUUCCAUUUGCAAUGGUAAUAAUAAAUCAACAUUCAACAGAAGU